rfam:Stegodyphus mimosarum contig76869, whole genome shotgun sequence.
GCCUUCGUGGUGUAAUGGUCAGCACAUUGAACCGGUAUUUCAGAGGUCCGUGGUUCGAUUCCCGGCGAAGGCG